rnacentral:rRNA from 1 species
GAUGAACGCUGGCGGCGUGCCUAAUACAUGCAAGUCGAGCGAACAGACGAGGAGCUUGCUCCUCUGACGUUAGCGGCGGACGGGUGAGUAACACGUGGAUAACCUACCUAUAAGACUGGGAUAACUUCGGGAAACCGGAGCUAAUACCGGAUAAUAUAUUGAACCGCAUGGUUCAAUAGUGAAAGACGGUUUUGCUGUCACUUAUAGAUGGAUCCGCGCCGCAUUAGCUAGUUGGUAAGGUAACGGCUUACCAAGGCAACGAUGCGUAGCCGACCUGAGAGGGUGAUCGGCCACACUGGAGCGGAGACACGGUCCAGACUCCUACGGGAGGCAGCAGUAGGGAAUCUUCCGCAAUGGGCGAAAGCUUGACGGAGCAACGCCGCGUGAGUGAUGAAGGUCUUCGGAUCGUAAAACUCUGUUAUUAGGGAAGAACAAAUGUGUAAGUAACUAUGCACGUCUUGACGGUACCUAAUCAGAAAGCCACGGCUAACUACGUG